rnacentral:rRNA from 1 species
AUUGAACGCUGGCGGCAGGCCUAACACAUGCAAGUCGAACGGUAACAGGAAGAAGCUUGCUUCUUUGCUGACGAGUGGCGGACGGGUGAGUAAUGUCUGGGAAACUGCCUGAUGGAGGGGGAUAACUACUGGAAACGGUAGCUAAUACCGCAUAACGUCGCAAGACCAAAGAGGGGGACCUUCGGGCCUCUUGCCAUCGGAUGUGCCCAGAUGGGAUUAGCUAGUAGGUGGGGUAACGGCUCACCUAGGCGACGAUCCCUAGCUGGUCUGAGAGGAUGACCAGCCACACUGGAACUGAGACACGGUCCAGACUCCUACGGGAGGCAGCAGUGGGGAAUAUUGCACAAUGGGCGCAAGCCUGAUGCAGCCAUGCCGCGUGUAUGAAGAAGGCCUUCGGGUUGUAAAGUACUUUCAGCGGGGAGGAAGGGAGUAAAGUUAAUACCUUUACUCAUUGACGUUACCCGCAGAAGAAGCACCGGCUAACUACGUG